UACGAAGGGGGCUAGCGUUGUUCGGAAUCACUGGGCGUAAAGCGCGUGUAGGCGGAUUGUUAAGUCGGGGGGUGAAAUCCUGAGGCUCAACCUCAGAACUGCCUUCGAUACUGGCGAUCUUGAGUCCGAGAGAGGUGAGUGGAACUCCUAGUGUAGAGGUGAAAAUUCGUAGAUAUUAGGAAGAACACCAGUGGCGAAGGCGGCUCACUGGCUCGGUACUGACGCUGAUAUGCGAAACGUGGGGAGCAA
rnacentral:rRNA from 1 species